rnacentral:lncRNA from 1 species
CCUGACCUUACGAGUGGAUGAAGAUACCUCAGCUGUCUGACUUUGCCAAUUGCUUGCUUUCAGAAUUUUAAACAGUGGAAGGAAAAAGAAAUCCUGCUAAGAUCUGAACAUCUCAGUGGCUUAUUUUCCAGUGUCGUCAAUAGCUGUGAGUGUCAGGACUAAAUAUUCUCCCAAGGAGUGCCAUGAUAUUGAGGUCACUUUAUUAAAAACAGUUUUGUCUGCGAAAGGAUCAGGAGACUCCGACGUUUGCAGUCAGAGAUGACACUGAGCAUGCUUUUAUUGCGGCCCGCAGUCUUCGAGUGGGGCAUAUUGAUUGAUGAGUGACUGCCUGCCGAUAAAUUUUCUCCGCUCUGUUUCCUGGAUUGGACUUCAUUAAGCAAUUUGUCACUUACCUUCAGACUUACAUGUGGGAUUUUCCACAACAAUAGUUUUGGGAUCAUUGGAACUUGGAUUGAUUUCAUCAUUUAGCAGGGAGGAACAGGAUCCCAGUUAUUUUCUCAUCAUGGCUUUGAAUGUUGCCCCCGUCAGAGAUACAAAAUGGCUGACGUUAGAGGUCUGCAGACAGUUCCAGAGAGGAACCUGCUCCCGCUCUGAUGAGGAAUGCAAAUUCGCCCACCCCCCCAAAAGCUGCCAGGUUGAAAAUGGAAGAGUAAUUGCCUGCUUUGAUUCCCUAAAGGGCCGUUGUUCAAGGGAGAACUGCAAGUAUCUUCACCCUCCCACACACUUAAAAACUCAACUAGAAAUUAAUGGGAGGAACAAUUUGAUCCAGCAAAAAACUGCAGCAGCCAUGCUUGCCCAGCAGAUGCAAUUUAUGUUUCCAGGAACCCCACUCCAUCCCGUGCCCACUUUUCCUGUAGGUCCCGCAAUAGGGACAAAUACGGCGAUUAGCUUUGCUCCUUACUUAGCACCUGUAACCCCUGGAGUUGGGUUAGUCCCAACGGAAAUUCUACCCACCACACCUGUUAUUGUUCCCGGAAGUCCACCUGUCACUGUCCCGGGCUCAACUGCAACUCAGAAACUUCUCAGGACUGACAAACUGGAGGUCUGCAGGGAGUUCCAGCGAGGAAACUGUGCCCGGGGAGAGACCGACUGCCGCUUUGCACACCCCGCCGACAGCACCAUGGUCGACACAAACGACAACACCGUAACCGUUUGUAUGGAUUACAUAAAGGGGCGUUGCAUGAGGGAGAAAUGCAAAUAUUUUCACCCUCCUGCACACUUGCAGGCCAAAAUCAAAGCUGCGCAGCACCAAGCCAACCAGGCCGCGGUGGCCGCCCAGGCAGCCGCGGCCGCGGCCACAGUCAUGACUCAGUCGACUGCCAAAGCAAUGAAGCGACCUCUCGAAGCAUCUGUAGACCUGGCCUUCCCUCCUGGUGCUCUUCAUCCUUUACCAAAGAGACAAGCACUUGAAAAGAGCAACGGUGCCAGCGCCGUGUUUAACCCCAGCGUCGUGCACUACCAGCAGGCUCUCAGCAGCGCGCAGCUGCAGCAGCACGCUGCGUUCAUCCCGACAGGGUCAGUUUUGUGCAUGACACCCGCUACCAGUAUUGUACCCAUGAUGCACAGCGCUACGUCAGCCACUGUCUCUGCAGCAACAACUCCUGCAACAAGUGUCCCCUUCGCAGCAACAGCCACAGCCAAUCAGAUAAUUCUGAAAUAAUCAGCAGAAACGGAAUGGAAUGCCAAGAAUCUGCAUUGAGAAUAGCUAAACAUUGUUACUGUACAUACUAUCCUGUUCCCUCCUCAAUAGAAUUGCCACAAACUGCAUGCUAAAUAAAGAUUUAGUUCUUCUGGACA